AUACGGAGGGAGCGAGCGUUAAUAGGAAUUACUGGGCGUAAAGCGUGCGUAGGCGGUUUGCUAAGUCAGAUGGGAAAGCCCCGGGCUUAACCUGGGAACUGCAUUUGAUACUGGCAGACUAGAGUAUGAUAGAGGGGGGUAGAAUUCCUGGUGUAGCGGUGAAAUGCGUAGAUAUCAGGAGGAAUACCAGUGGCGAAGGCGGCCCCCUGGAUCAAUACUGACGCUGAGGUACGAAAGCGUGGGGAGCGAACAGGAUUAGAUACCCUAGUAGUCC
rnacentral:rRNA from 1 species